UACAGAGGAGCCAAGCGUUGUCCGGAUUGACUGGGCGUAAAGCGCACGCAGGCGGACGCGCGCGUGGGGUGUGAAAUCUGGCCGCUUAACGGCCAGGCGCCAUCCCAUACGGCGCGUCUGGAGUGAUGCAGAGGUCGGUGGAAUUGCCGGUGUAGUGGUGAAAUGCGUAGAGAUGUGGAGGAACACCAGUGGCGAAGGCGACUCUCUGGUCUGUAACUGACGCUGAGGCGCGAAAGCGUGGGGAGCGAACAGG
rnacentral:rRNA from 1 species